UCUUGCGCAAUGGGCGAAAGCCUGACGCAGCGACGCCGCGUGAGCGAUGAAGGCCUUCGGGUUGUAAAGCUCUGUGGGGAGGGAAGAAUAAGUCUUGGCUAAUACCCAAGAUGAUGACGGUACCUCCUUAGCAAGCACCGGCUAACUCUGUGCCAGCAGCCGCGGUAAGACAGAGGGUGCAAACGUUGUUCGGAAUUACUGGGCGUAAAGCGCGUGUAGGCGGCUAAGUAAGUCGGGCGUGAAAUCACACGGCUCAACCGUGGAAGUGCACUCGAAACUGCAUAGCUAGAGUCCUGGAGAGGAAGGUGGAAUGCUUGGUGUAGAGGUGAAAUUCGUAGAUAUCAAGCGGAACACCGGUGGCGAAGGCGGCCUUCUGACAGGACUGACGCGAGACGCGAAA
rnacentral:rRNA from 1 species